rnacentral:rRNA from 1 species
CUCGUAGGCGGUUCGGCAAGUCGGGUGUGAAACCUCCAGGCUCAACCUGGAGUCGCCACCCGAAACUGCUGUGACUUGAGUCCGGUAGGGGAGCACGGAAUUCCUGGUGUAGCGGUGGAAUGCGCAGAUAUCAGGAGGAACACCAGUGGCGAAGGCGGUGCUCUGGGCCGGUACUGACGCUGAGGAGCGAAAGCAUGGGGAGCGAACA